GUGAGUGGUGUAAAUGCAAUGUUGAAGAACAGUGGUUCUUCCAAGCUGAAGAGUACAGACUUUUGGGUUUGACUGGAGAAGAUGAAGUAACUGUGGCUUACUUUCUAGUGGUAAGUGUGCUUCGGCAACAGCCAUCUCAAUCAGAGCUUGAUCAUCACUACUGGGUGCAAGUUGGGAUACUACUGGAAACGGUAAUGGUGGAGGAAUAGAGCUGAGCAGAGAUAGUGUCUUACUUGAAUGUUGGGUUUGUGCAUUUUUGUUCAAAUGUUGGGAUCUUCCCACAGGAACACUAGCAUGUCCAGGUUGAAAAGGAUACUCUUCAUUAGGGUUGGACUUAAAAGAGUAUGUCUGGUCAACUACAUUAAUCUGUAGACCACUUGAAUAAAUGAAAUCUAAACCCAAGACUACAGAGUAAGCCAAGGCUUUUGGAGUGAGAAUGGCAGCUUGAGUAGGAAAAACUUUGUUAUGCAAUAUGAUUUCAAAAUUCGUCCAUCCUAAAGGAACUUCGGCUUCUCCAUUGGCCAGAUAGAGUGGGCCAAGUGUCCAGGGAUGGAGGCUGGCUUGGGGAUCGAUCUCCUUCCACAAAUUCUCAUGGAGUAAAGUGUAACUGGCACCCGUAUCCAAUAUGGCUUUUCCUCUCCAAGCCCCAAUGUAAAUUGGAACUAUCAGCUGUUGUGGUAUGACCACAGAUUUAGUAACCGUCGACUUGGGUAAUGACUUUGAAGGAAGUGUAACAGACAUGGCAUUGUUAGAUGGAUUACCUCCGUGCUUUUGGGUCUGAAAAUAACGUUUAUUUCCUGUAGGAGGAGGGUGACUAGAUGAUUGAGUGGUUUGCACAGAGGAGGAAUAGUGAGGACAACUACCUGGUGGAUGCAGACCUUUGCAUCUCCAACACAAAACUGGAGGUUUCUCAACUCGGUUGGGGGCAAUUCUUUGUGGUGAGGGUUGAGUCACAUGUUCUACAUAAUGUAACUGCUGAACAUAAUCCUUCUCAAGCUGAAGGCCCAGUUUAACCAACUCAUCCACUGUAUGGACACGGCUUCGAAGUUGGCUGGCUAGGUGAGGUUUUAUGUUUUUUAGAAUCAUUUUUACUAAUUCACUCUCAGUUAGUGUGGGCUUCCAUCGUUUACACAUUGCUCUGUAUGUAAAAGCAAAGUCUCUAAUUGACUCUUUCUCUGCUUGUGUUCUAGUUCUAACCCUCUCUGCCAGCUCAUCCUCAUAGUCUUCUGAAAGGAAAGCUGAGAGAAAAGCAGUUUCAAACUCACUCCAUGUGGAAAUAGCAGAGCGAGCCACUUCCCACCAAUCCCGGGCUGUACCGUACAGGACAGUGCGGAAGGUAGCUAGAAUGUCUGGAUCAUCUAGAGGGUGUAAGGCCAGGAAAUCUUUGCAGCGUGUUACAUAUAGCAGUGGAUCAGCAUCAUCCGAAGGUCUUCCAAACGUUGGAAAAGUUAACUUUAAAUGAUCACUUUUUAUAACAGGUGUUUGAAAAGGCAUUGGAGCAGUCACUGAAGAUGAAGAUUGUGUUGAAACGGAUACAGGUGCACUGCUUGGAGGAUCAGACACUUGCUUUAUAGUGAUUUAGAUCACUGGAAAGGCGUUCAAAAUUCUUGUCAGAGUGUUCCUUGGUAGCUUGAAUAUCCUUCUGCAAUUCCAACUGAGCUUGUUCCACCAUGAAGCGAAUCUCUGAAAUUAAGGUACUUUCACUCCUUUGGAUUUCUUGUGUCAACAUCACCUUCACAGCUUUAGUGAGUUGAUCCGCUGUCUCUGUGUCAUCUUUUCGUUGUGCAGUUAAGGUGUUCAGGAGUUGCUGAUGAGUGGAUUCCAUUUUUGCAAGCUUUGCUUCAUGCAGGGAAAAAGAUUUAGACGAUUUUUCGGUGAGUUCCUUCACAGCUUUAUCUUGCCGUUUCAGACAGUCAAAUACACGAUCCCAGUUUCCUUGUACAUGAGCAGUAAGUUGAUGAAUUUCUCUUCCAGGUGUAGGGAGGUAUCCAGGAAGAGCAUGCUGGGUUGCUGUGGAGGGCGGUGAUUCUACCGUGGAUGCACUUGUGCACAGUUGCAUUGGGUCAGGUUGAACUGUAGAAGUAACACCUGGAGUGGUGGUGUGGAAAUGCACUUGAGUCCUUCCAUAAGGGUCUAACUGAGUGGGUGUGGAGUGGUAUGUGGGAAUGUUGGAAGGUGAUGAGAACUGUCUUUGCUGCACUGGUGGCCAAACUGGAGUGGCUAUAUCUGGUGGAUCAAUAUCCACGGAAGUUGAAGGGGAAGGAUUGACGUUGGCCAUGUUUAUAGUGUGUAUGAGUGUAAUCUAAGGGUUUUGAAAAAAUUUAAAUCAAAAAAGAAAAUGUUGUCUUUUUAGUCAAUGUGGUCACAAAAAAUAUAUAUAUAGAGAGAGAUGUCAAAAGUACCACAAGUACCAAAUUCACAAGGUAUUCAAAAUCAGUACAAUUCCUGUACAAUGACACAAAUGUUCUAUAACAACUUUUUUUUUUUUUUUUUUUUUUUUUUUUUUACAAAAUAGUUUUUUCCAAAGUCUUUAUCAGUAAAGCAAAACAGUUCAAAAAGUCAAAAGGUUGUUGUCAACUGAAAUCAGUCAAACAAUUCAAAUGAGUUUCAAAGUUAAAAAUUUCCCAAAAUAAAGUAAGGUUUCAAUGGUGUUCAAUGUCUUAUAAAGUGUUCAGUUUUUUUUUUUUUUUUUUUUUUUUUUUUUAAGUGUUCAGGGUCCCUCUUCGGGCGCCACUUAUGUGACGGUGGUUGUUUGUAAUAAAUAAAUCUUAUAUACAGUUUAUAAUAAGAAAAAAAAAAUAAUAAUUCAAAUCUCAAAAAGUGAACUCCGCGGGAUUCGAACACGGGACCUCCUGCACCGCAGCCGAACGCUCAACCGCUGGUCCACGUGGGUACUGCACUAGCUGGCUUUCACACGUCCCUUAAUCCCACUGCCAGCGGACCUCAAACAAAAAAAAAA